rnacentral:rRNA from 1 species
AACGAACGCUGGCGGCAUGCCUAACACAUGCAAGUCGAACGAGACCUCCGGGUCUCGUGUCGCACGGGUGCGUAACGCGUGGGAACAUGCCCUUAGGUUCGGAAUAACUCCCCGAAAGGGGUGCUAAUACCGGAUAAUGUCUUCGGACCAAAGAUUUAUCGCCUUUGGAUGGGCCCGCGUUGGUUUAGCUAGUUGGUAGGGUAAAAGCCUACCAAGGCGACGAUCCUUAGCUGGUCUGUGAGGAUGAUCAGCCACACUGAGACUGAGACACGGCCCCGACUCCUACGGGAGGCAGCAGUGGGGAAUCUUGGACAAUGGGCGAAAGCCUGAUCCAGCAAUGCCGCGUGAGUUAUGAAGGCCUUAAGGUUGUAAAGCUCUUUUACCCGGGAUGAUAAUGACAGUACCGGGAGAAUAAGCUCCGGCUAACUCCGUG